AUGGCGACCUGGCAGCGGGGUCGCGGCUGCUGGGAGCGGAGCCCGCCGGAGCCGAGGCCGCGGGCGGGGCCGAGGGGUCCCCGCGCCGAGGAGGAGGCGGCGUCCCCGGCCGUCCUGUCCCUCAGCCACUUCUGCAGGUCGCCCUUCCUCUGCUUCGGGGACGUGCGCCUGGGAGCCUCGCGGACGCUGCCCCUGACCCUGGACAACCCCAACGAGGAGGCGGCCGCCGUGCGGCUGUCCCGCGGCCCCGCCGCCGAACGCGGCUUCACGAUCUGGCCGAGAGCCUUCGUGCUGCAGCCUAAAGAAAAAAUUGUUGUUUCUAUUACCUGGACACCGUUGAAAGGAGGCCGAGUAAGAGAGACUGUGACAUUUCUUGUAAAUGAUAUUCUGAAACACCAAGCUAUAUUACUAGGAAAUGCAGAAGAGCCGAAAAAGAAAAAGAGGACUCUUUGGGAUACUAUUAAUAAGAAGAAAGUAUCGGCCUCUUCAAGACAUAACAAGAAGGUUUCAAAUAUUCAAAAUGUAAAUAAAACAUUUAAUGUUUCCCCCAAAGCUGACAAAGUUAGGAGCCCGCUACAAGCCUGUGAGAAUCUGGCUACAAAUGGAAACUGUUCCCCACCAGAAAGCAAUCCUUUAAUCCUUGAAGAAAAUAAACUCCCUAUAUCACCUAUCAGCCCCGCAUUCCAAGAGUGCCACAGGGAGACCUGCUUGCCACUUCAUGUUCGUCGCUCUACGACCUACACGUCCCUUCCUGCUUCUGAAAAUGGGGAACUGGAGAAAGCAGACGGUGCCAACACUGCAAAAGAUUUUCAUUUUAAUGAGAAAGGCAUAACUGAAACCUCCUUUGACUCCAUAGACAAUGUUAAUAGUCAGACUGAAGAGAACGGUAAACUUACUCUUACCCCAAAUUAUUCUUCAAGUUUGAACAUCACACAAAGCCAAGGACAUUUUCUAAGUCCGGAUUCUUUUGUGAAUAAUAGCCAUGCAUCUAAUAAUGAACCAGAAUUCGUGAAGUGCCUCUCACCAGAUAUGUUUGUGAAAGGUAAUACAAGGCCUGUGCUUUUGGAAUCAAAAAGGGUACAUGAAAUCUGUCGGAAAAUUCUAAGUCCAGAUUCUUUCAUAAAUGAUAACUAUGGACUAAAUGAGGAUCUAGAAACAGAGUCCGUCAACCCAAUUCUCUCCCCAAAUCAAUUUUUAAAAGAUAAUAUAGCAUAUAUAUGUAUAUCUCAGCAAACAUGUCAAUUGCCAUUAUCAACUAGACGUUUUCAGGACUCACAGCCUCCUCAAGACGAGAGAAAAAAUGCAGCUGUACCUUGUAUUUCUGAAUGUCAGCAGUUAGAAUCUCCAAAAGCUACUUUUGAAGCAUCCAAAGCUUUAGAAGUGAUGUCAAACUCUUACACUUUUAAAAAACAGAACCAGCCUAAAUUUUCGGCAGUUCAGGAUAUUUCUAGUCACAGCCGUGAAAAACCUAUUAAGAGACGCCCAAUACUUUCUGCCACUGUGACUAAAAGAAAGCCCACUUGCGCUGUAGAAAACCAAAUGGAGACUGUUAAACCAAAGGCAAAAAGAUGUCUCAAUGUUGUAGUGGGUGACUGUGAAAAAGAAACAGAUGAUCAAAAAGAGAAAGAUGAUUUUCAUCCUCUUCUUCCAACUAGAGAUUUAAUACUGAGCAGACCUAAGAGCUCUAAAAACAUUGUAACUCCUCCCUGCAAGGCAGCUUCAGUUGCUCGUAAAAGAAAGAGUAAGGGACACACAGGAGAUGAAAAUGUGAGGGUAAGAGUUACAGAAUGCUCGGAAGUGCAAGAAGUCAAAAGGACCCAUUUUUCUCCUCUGGCAUCUAAAACAUCAACUGUUAAACACACACACAAAGUGCUAACCUCCUCCUUGAAACGUGUUAGCCACAGAGAGAAAGUAAACCUGAAGAGGAAAACAGAUUCGUUAGGAUACAGAACUCCUACUUCUAAAACAAACAAAAGGACAAGACCCUUUGUUCCUGUGGCUCAGUCUAACUUGACCUUCAUAAAAGCGCUAAAAGCAGGUAUACCUAGACAUCCAAUGCCGUUUGCUGCAAAAAACAUAUUUUAUGAUGAACGCUGGAAGGAGAAGCAGGAACAGGGCUUCACUUGGUGGCUAAAUUUUAUAUUAACUCCUGACGACUUCACUGUAAAAACAAAUAUUUCUGAAGUAAAUGCUUCCACUCUUCUUCUGGGAGUAGAGAGUCAACAUAAAAUAAGUGUCCCGAAAGCUCCUACCAAGGACGAGGUGUCUCUCAGAGCUUACACAGCUCGGUGCAGGUUGAACAGGUUGCGUCGUGCCGCAUGCCGCUUAUUUACUUCUGAAAAAAUGGUUAAGGCUAUGAAAAAGCUUGAAAUUGAAAUCGAAGCUCGGCGGUUAAUUGUUCGGAAAGACAGGCACCUCUGGAAAGAUGUGGGAGAACGGCAGAAAGUCCUGAAUUGGCUAUUGUCAUAUAAUCCUUUGUGGCUACGAAUCGGCCUAGAGACAAUAUACGGAGAACUGGUGCCUCUGGAAGACAACAGUGACGUCACGGGGCUGGCGAUGUUCAUUCUGAACCGCCUGCUUUGGAAUCCUGACAUCGCAGCCGAGUACAGGCACCCGAGUGUCCCUCACCUGUACAGAGAUGGUCAUGAAGAAGCUCUGUCUAAGUUUACAUUGAAAAAACUAUUAUUGUUGGUUUGUUUCCUUGAUUAUGCCAAAAUCUCUAGACUUAUUGAUCAUGAUCCUUGUCUCUUCUGUAAAGAUGCCGAGUUCAAGGCCAGUAAAGAUAUCCUUCUGGCUUUUUCACGAGAUUUCCUAGGCGGUGAAGGUGACCUUUCCCGUCACCUGAGCUUACUGGGAUUUCCUGUGACCCACGUCCAGAUGCCUUUCGAUGAAUUUGAUUUUGCUGUUAAGAAUCUUGCUGUAGACUUGCAGUGUGGGGUGCGUCUCGUGCGAACUAUGGAACUUCUCACACAAAACUGGAAUCUCUCAAAGAAACUCAGAAUUCCUGCAAUAAGUCGUCUUCAAAAGAUGCACAAUGUUGACAUCGUUCUUGAAAUUCUUAAAUCACGAGGAAUUCAGUUGAAUGAUGAGCAUGGAAAUGCAAUCCUGUCUAAGGAUAUUGUGGACAGACACAGAGAGAAAACCCUGGCGUUGCUUUGGAAGAUCGCAUUGGCUUUUCAGGUGGAUAUUUCCCUUAAUUUGGAUCAAUUAAAAGAAGAAAUUGACUUUUUAAAGAAGACACAGAGUAUGAAGAAAACAAUGUCUGCACUGUUAUGCCGUCCUGAUGCUGUUAUCAGUAAAAAAAGAGAUGAAAGGCAUAGCGGUCCCUUUGAACAAUACAGUGAAAGCGUAAAGCUACUGAUGGAUUGGGUAAAUGCUGUCUGUGGCUUCUAUAAUAAAAAAGUGGAGAACUUCACAGUGUCUUUCUCGGACGGCCGGGUGUUGUGUUACCUGAUCCACCACUACCAUCCUUGCUAUGUUCCUUUUGACGCCAUAUGUCAGCGGACCACGCAGACCGUGGAGUGCACACACACUGGUUCCGUGGUGCUGAAUUCAUCAUCUGAAUCUGACGGAAGUUUUCUGGAUUUGUCUUUUAAAUCACCUGAUCAGGAAAAUACUUCAGAACUAUACAAAGAACUCCUGGAAAAUGAAAAGAAAAAUUUUCAGUUGGUUAGGUCUGCAGCUAGAGACCUUGGUGGAAUACCUGCCAUGAUCCAUCACUCAGAUAUGUCAAACACAAUCCCUGAUGAGAAGGUGGUGAUUACCUAUUUGUCAUUUCUUUGUGCGAGGCUUUUGGAUCUUCGUAAAGAAACGAGAGCCGCUCGACUUAUACAAACAACUUGGAGACAAUAUAAGCUAAAAAAAGAUCUAAAACACCAUCAGGAGAGAGACAAAGCUGCAAGAAUCAUUCAAUCAGCUAUAAUCAAUUUCCUCACUAAACAACGAUUUAAAAAGAAGGUCAGCGCAGCAUUGGUCAUUCAGAAAUAUUGGCGAAGAGCCUUAGCAAAGAGAAAACUGUUAAUGUUGAAAAAGGAAAAGCUAGAAAGAGUUCACAGUAAAUCAGCAUCUAUUAUUCAGAGAUACUGGAGAAGAUAUUCCACUAGAAAGCAGUUUCUGAAAUUGAAAUAUUAUUCAAUUAUCCUGCAAUCUAAGAUAAGAAUGAUCAUUGCUGUUGCUUCUUACAAACGAUACCACUGGGCUACCGUGACAAUUCAGAGGCACUGGCGUGCUCAUGUUAGAAGCAAGCAGGAUCGACAGAGAUAUGAAUUGCUAAGAUCAUCCACCCUUGUAAUCCAGUCCGCCUUCAGGAGAUGGAGGCGACAUAAGAGGCAAUCACAAAUAAAUGCUGCCAUAACAUUGCAAAGAGCUUUCAGAGAAUGGCGUGUCCAGAAACGCGCUCAAGAAGAAAGAGCUGCCGUGGUCAUACAAUCCUGGUAUAGGAUGCACAGAGAAUCACAGAAGUACAUUCACCUUAGAUCUUGUGUUAUCAUCAUUCAGGCAAGAUUCCGGUGUUUUCAAGCCCAAAAGUUAUAUACAAGGACCAGAGAGUCUAUCCUGACUCUGCAGAAGCACUACAGAGCAUACGUGAAAGGAAAGGUUGAGCGCACAGGCUAUUUGCAGAAACGGGCUGCAGCCAUCCGCCUGCAGGCUGCUUUCAGGGGAAGGAGAGCACGUAACUUAUGCAAGCAGAUCAGGGCCGCUUGUGUCUUACAGUCGUGCUGGAGAAUGAGACAGGACAGACUCCGAUUUCUAAACCUUAAGAAAAACAUCAUCAGGCUGCAGGCACACAUAAGGAGACGUCAACAAUUACAGACAUACCAGAAGAUGAAGAAAGCCGCCCUCGUAAUUCAGAUUCACUUCCGAGCUUACAUCUCGGCCAAGGAAGUUCUGGCCUCUUACCAGAAGACCCGUUCUGCUGUCAUCGUCCUGCAGUCUGCGUGCAGGAGAAUGCAGGCCAGGAAAAAGUUUCUUCACAUCCUCACAGCAGUUGUAAAGAUUCAAUCAUAUUACAGGGCUUAUGCUUCCAGAAGAAAGUUUCUGAGGCUCAAAAAGGCUACAGUGAAGUUACAAUCCAUUGUCAGGAUGAAGCAAGCCCGCAAACAAUAUUUACAUUUAAGAGCAAUUGCACAACAGAGAGAAGAACACCUGCGGGCCUCUUGCAUCAAACUGCAAGCUUUCCUCAGAGGGUACCUGGUUCGGAAGCAGGUGAGGCUGCAGAGAAAAGCCGCUGUUUUGCUGCAGUCUUAUUUUAGGAUGAGAAAGAUGCGGCUGGAGUACCUGAAAGUCUGUCAAGCAGCUGUUGUCAUUCAGCGUUACUAUCGUGCACACAGAGCAGGGGCCCAGCAGAGGAAGCACUUCCUGCAAGUCAGAAGAGCCGUGACCUGUUUGCAGGCCGCUUACAGAGGGUAUAAGGUCCGCCGGCAGCUGCAACAGCAAUCUGCAGCUGCUCUGAAAAUUCAAGCUGCUUUUAGAGGCUAUCGUCAGAGGACAAAGUAUCAAUCCAUGCUUCAGUCUGCGCUCAAGAUUCAGAGAUGGUACAGGACACGCAAGAUGGUUUCUGCCCUAAGAAGCCAUUUCUUCAAAACAAGGACAGCUGCAAUUUCUCUCCAGUCUGCUUAUCGUGGCUGGAAAGUUCGGAAGCAGAUGAGAAAGGAACAUGAAGCUGCAGUGAAGAUUCAGUCUGCUUUCAGAACGGCCAGGGCCCAGAAGGAGUUCAGGUUGUUAAAAACGGCAGCAUCCGUGAUCCAGCAGCAUCUGAGAGCGCGCGCAACGGGGCUGAGGCAGCGGACAGAGUACAUGGCACUGCGCCGGGCGGCAGUGACGCUCCAGUCCGCCUGGAGGGGCCGAGCAGCCAGGAGGCGGAUUCAGAAGCAACAGAGAUGUGCCAUCAUCAUACAGGCCUGCUACCGAAGGCACGUGCAGCGGAAGAGGUGGGAAAUCAUGAAAAAAGCGGCUCGUCUAAUUCAAAUGCAUUAUCGGGCUUAUCGUACAGGAAGAAAACAGCAUCAUUUGUUUUUGAAAACCAAAGGAGCUGCAAUAAUCCUACAGUCAGCUUUCCGAGGUGUGAGAGCGAGGAAGAAAGUGAAGGAGAUGCACCAGGCAGCCACCACCAUACAGUCUAGAUACCGAGCGUACCAAGCCAGAAAGAAGUACGCCAGCUACAGAGCAGCGGCAGUCAUCAUUCAGAGGUGGUAUCGAGCGGCUAAGCUCGCAGGCUGUCAGCGUGAGGAAUAUCUUGCUGUAAAGAAGGCAGCACUGAAAAUCCAGGCCGUCUAUAGAGGAGUCAGAGAAAGAAGACAGACCCGGCGCAUGCACAUGGCAGCCACUCUCAUCAAAGCCGCCUUCAAAAUGCAGCAGUCACGAAGGAGGUAUCAGCAAAUGAGAACAGCAGCCAUCGUAAUUCAGGUAAGGUACCGAGCGUACCGCCAAGGUAGAGCUCAGCAUGCAAAGUACCUGACCACUCUGAAAGCCGUUGCCCUCCUCCAGGCAGCUCUCAGAGGGGCAAGAGUUAGACAGAACCUGAGAAGGAUGCGGACCGCGGCCACGCUCAUCCAGGCCCACUACAGGGGGCGCCGACAGCAAGCCUAUUUUAAUAAGUUAAAGAAGGUGACGAAAACGGUGCAGCAGAAGUACCGGGCAGGGAGGGAAAGGCAUGCACAACUGCGAAGGUACAACCAGCUGAGACGCUCCGCGAUCUGCAUUCAGGCUGCUUUCAGGGGCAUGAGAGCGCGAAAACGCUUAAAAGCCAUGCACUCCGCCGCAGCAGUAAUCCAGCGGAGAUUUAGGACUCUGGUGAUGAGGAGAAGAUUCCUGUCUCUCAGGAAGACCGCUGUGUGGGUUCAGAGAAAAUACCGUGCAAAGGUUUGUGCAAGGCAUCACUUACAACAGCUCCAGUUGCAGAAGGCAGCUAUCAAAAUCCAGUCCUGGUACAGGGGGUGGAUGGUGAGGAAGAAGACACAGGAGAUGCGCAGGGCGGCCACGGUCCUCCAGGCUGCGUUCAGGAGGCACCGUGCACGGGCGAGGUACCAGGCCUGGAGGCGCGCCUCGCAGGUCAUCCAGCAGCGGUUCCGGGCAGGCCAAGCUGCGCGCCUGCAGAGGAGACAGUACCUCCAGCAACGACGCUCUGCGCUGGUCCUCCAGGCUGCGUUCAGGGGUAUGAGAAUCCGAAGACGUCUGAAAAGGAUGCAUGCCUCCGCGACCCUGAUUCAGAGCAGGUUUAGGUCUGUAAGGGUGAGGAAAAGAUUCCUUUCCCUCAAGAAAGCUGCUGUUUUUGUUCAGAGGAAGUACCGAGCCGCGAUCUGUGCCAAACACCACUUGCAGCGAUUCCUGGAGUUAAAGAAAGCAAUCAUUAUAAUCCAGGCGUUUUACCGAAGACGGAUGGUAAAGAAGCAGUUACAGGAGAUGCACAGGGCUGCGGCCCUUAUCCAGGCAAGCUUCAGAAUGCACAGAGCGCGCCUGGCCUUUCAGACCUGGAAACUCGCUGCGGUUCUCAUUCAGCAGCAUUACCGGGCAUACAGAGCUGCAAAACUGCAAAGAGCACUUUACAUCAGAUGGAGGCAUUCUGCAGUGGUCAUUCAGGCUGCGUAUAAAGGGCUGAAAGCAAGGCAGCUUUUAAGGGAAAAGCACAGAGCUGCUGUCAUAAUACAAAGCACCUACAGAAUGUACAGGCAACAUUUCUCCUACCAAAAGCUUCAGUGGGCUACAAAAGUAAUACAAGAAAGAUAUAGAGUGAGUAAAAGGAAAGCUCUUCAACACGAUGCACUCAAAGCAGCAGCCUGUGCCCGAGCUGACUUUCAGGAUAUGGUCAUAAGGGGACUGAUUCAGGAAAGGCAGCAUCAAGCUGCCAUUACUGUUCAGAAGCAUUUUAGAGCCUUUAAAACACGGAAGCGCUAUCUCCACUUUAGGGCAAAGGUAGUUUUUGUUCAAAGAAGAUACAGAGUGCUAAUGGCAGUGCGAACCCAGGCAGCCAUCUGUAUCCAGUCUUGUUUCAGAGGAUUUAAGGCACGAAGGGGUAUCCAGGGCAUGCACCUGGCUGCCACACGAAUUCAAUCAUGCUACCGAAGGCACCGGGCCAGAGCUGAUUAUCAGGCCAAGAAAAGAGCAGUUGUUGUCAUACAGAAUCACUACAGGUCGUAUGUCAGAGUGAAAAUGGAGAGGAAGGAAUUUUUAGCCAUUCAGAAAUCUGCACGAACUAUUCAGGCUGCUUUCAGAGGCAUGAAAGUUAGACAGAAAUUAAAAACCAUGCCUGACGAAAAGAUGGCAGCCCCUGCUACCCGGCCUGCAUUCUACUGUCACAGGACUGAGAGCCAGCAUGAAGCUGGCCAGAGUCCAGCACUUGUGGCUCAAGGGCUGUAUAAAACUUCUCUGGUUGGCCCUUCACAGGAAACAGAGCAUCAUUCUCAAAGAAAAGCUGCGGUCACAAUUCAAAAAGCUUUCCGUAAAAUGGUCACAAGAAGACUGGAAAAACAGAGGCGUGCUGCUGUGCAAAUUCAGUCCUUCCUUCAGAUGGCCGUAUAUCGCAGAAGAUUCCUUCAGCAGAAAAGGGCGGCCCUCACGUUACAGCGGUACUUCAGGACACAGCAAAGCAGAAAACGGUUCUUACUGUACAGAGAAGCAGCAGUGGGUUUGCAGAAUCCCCACAGAGCCUUUCUGCCUGCAAAACAUAAAAGAGAACUGUACUCACAAAUAAGGAGCAGUGUAAUCAUUAUUCAAGCUAGAGUGAAAGGAUUUAUACAGAAACGGAAGUUUCGGAAACUUAAAGAUAGCACCAUAAAAAUCCAGGCUGUGUGGAGGAGACACAAAGCCAGGAAAUAUUUACGAGAAGUGAAAGCUGCCUGCAGGAUUCAAGCCUGGUACAGGUGCCGGAAAGCACGUAAGGAGUAUCUGGCUGUGUUAAGAGCUGUUAGAAUCAUUCAGCGUUGCUUCUGCACCCAACAGCAGAGAAGACGGUUUUUGAAUGUGAGAGCCUCAGCAGUCAUCAUUCAGAGAAGAUGGAGAGCUGUACUCUCUGGAAGAACAACUCAUGAACAAUCCUUAAUGACGAAAAGACAUCAAGCUGCUUGUUUGAUCCAAGCAAAUUUCAGAGGAUAUAAAGCAAGGCAGGUGUUUCUUCAGCAGAAAUCAGCUGCUUUGACCAUACAGAGAUUCAUACGAGCCAGGAAGGCUGGGAAGCAUCAGAGGAUGAAAUAUGUCGAAUUAAAAAAAUCUACAGUUGUUCUACAAGCACUGGUGCGUGGUUGGCUCGUAAGGAAAAGGAUCUCAGAGCAGAGAGCCAAAAUCCGGCUUCUUCACUUCGCAGCAGCUGCCUUUUAUCACCUGUCUGCUCUUAGAAUUCAAAGAGCCUACAGGCGUCACAUGGCUCUGAAGAACGCUAACAAUAAACAGCUUAACUCAGCCAUCUGUAUUCAGAGAUGGUUUCGAGCAAGAUCACAGCGUAAGAGGUUUCUUCAGAAAUACAGCAUCGUGAACAUUCAGCGUGAAGCUCGAGAACAAGCCAGCCAGCACAGCAGGGCUGCCUCCGUAAUACAGAGAGCUGUCCGCCAUUUCCUCCUCCGUAAAAAGCAGGAAAACUUGAACAAAAGAAUCGCUAAAAUUCAGGCACUAUGGAGAGGAUAUUCUUGGAGGAAGAAAAAUGAUACUUCAAAAACUAAAGCCAUUCGACAGAGACUUCAGUGUGUUAACAGGGAGAUUCGGGAAGAAAACAAGCUCUACCACAGAACAGUAUUUGCCCUGCACCAUCUCCUGACGUACAAGUACCUUUCCACUGUGCUUGAGGCCCUGAAGCACCUGGAGGCAGUUACUAGAUUGUCUUCAGUUUGCUGCGAGAAGAUGGCCCAGAGCGGAGCAAUCUCUAAAGUAUUUGUCUUGAUCCGAAGCUGUAACCGGAGCGUCCCGUGUAUGGAGGUCAUCAGAUACGCCGUGCAAGUCUUGCUUAAUGUCGCCAAGUAUGAGAAGACGACUUCAGCGAUUUAUGAUGUCGAAAACUGUGUAGAUACACUGCUGGAGCUUCUGCAGAUGUACCAGGAAAAGUCUGGUGACAAAGUCGCCGACAAGAGCAGAAGCAUUUUCACAAAAACCUGUUGUUUGUUGGCUGUUUUAUUAAAGACGACAACUCGCGCUUCGGAUAUUCAAAGUAGGUCCAAAGUUGUCGACCGUAUUUAUAGUCUCUACAAACUUACAGCUCACAAGCAUAAAGUGAAUACUGAAAGAAUCCUUUGUAAACAAAAGAAGAAUUCUUCUGUGAGCCUUUCCUUUUUUCCAGAAACACCUGUAAGAACCAGAAUGGUUUCAAGACUCAAACCAGACUGGGUUUUGAGAAGAGAUAAUGUGGAAGAAAUCAUGACUCCUCUGAAAGCUAUUCAGAUGGUGAUGGACACGCUCAGCCUUCCUUAUUAGCAGAGGCAAGCGUCUCGGCCUGUACAAGAAAAGACACAGGAAAGCUCAUCAUGC
rnacentral:lncRNA from 1 species